rnacentral:rRNA from 1 species
CCUACGGGAGGCUGCAGUGGGGAAUAUUGGACAAUGGGGGGAACCCUGAUCCAGCCAUGCCGCGUGUGUGAAGAAGGCCCUCGGGUUGUAAAGCACUUUCAGUGAGGAAGAACGCCUGGUGGUUAAUACCCAUCAGGAAUGACAUCACUCACAGAAGAAGCACCGGCUAACUCCGUGCCAGCAGCCGCGGUAAUACGGAGGGUGCGAGCGUUAAUCGGAAUUACUGGGCGUAAAGCGCGCGUAGGUGGCUUGAUAAGCCGGUUGUGAAAGCCCCGGGCUCAACCUGGGAACGGCAUCCGGAACUGUCAAGCUAGAGUGCAGGAGAGGAAGGUAGAAUUCCCGGUGUAGCGGUGAAAUGCGUAGAGAUCGGGAGGAAUACCAGUGGCGAAGGCGGCCUUCUGGACUGACACUGACACUGAGGUGCAAAAGCGUGGGUAGCAAACAGGAUUAGAUACCCUAGUAGUC